UACGAAGGGGGCUAGCGUUAAUCGGAAUUACUGGGCGUAAAGCGUGCGCAGGCGGUUUUGUAAGCCAGAUGUGAAAGCCCCGGGCUUAACCUGGGAAUGGCAUUUGGGACUGCAAGGCUGGAGUGUGGCAGAGGAGACUGGAAUUCCUGGUGUAGCAGUGAAAUGCGUAGAUAUCAGGAGGAAUACCGAUGGCGAAGGCAGGUCUCUGGGCUGACACUGACGCUCAUGCACGAAAGCGUGGGGAGCAAACAGG
rnacentral:rRNA from 1 species